rnacentral:rRNA from 1 species
GAUGAACGCUAGCGACAGGCUUAACACAUGCAAGUCGAGGGGCAGCGAGGCGUAGCAAUACGCCUGUCGGCGACCGGCGCACUGGUGAGUAACACGUAUGCGACCUGCCCCCUACAGGGGUAUAACCCGUAGAAAUGCGGACUAAUCCCCCAUAGUCCUGGGUGCUGCAUGGCAUUCAGGGGAAAGGCCAGCCGGUAGGGGAUGGGCAUGCGGCGCAUUAGCUAGUUGGCGGGGCAACGGCCCACCAAGGCGACGAUGCGUAGGGGUUCUGAGAGGAAGGUCCCCCACACUGGUACUGAGACACGGACCAGACUCCUACGGGAGGCAGCAGUGAGGAAUAUUGGUCAAUGGGCGCAGGCCUGAACCAGCCAAGUCGCGUGAGGGAUGACGGUCCUACGGAUUGUAAACCUCUUUUGUCGGGGAGUAACGUGCGGGACGCGUCCCGUAUUGAGAGUACCCGAAGAAAAAGCAUCGGCUAACUCCGUG